rnacentral:rRNA from 1 species
GUAGGUGGCAAGCGUUGUCCGGAAUUAUUGGGCGUAAAGCGCGCGCAGGCGGUUCUUUAAGUCUGAUGUGAAAGCCCACGGCUCAACCGUGGAGGGUCAUUGGAAACUGGAGAACUUGAGUACAGAAGAGGAAAGCGGAAUUCCACGUGUAGCGGUGUAAUGCGUAGAGAUGUGGAGGAACACCAGUGGCGAAGGCGGCUUUCUGGUCUGUAACUGACGCUGAGGCGCGAAAGCGUGGGGAGCAAACAGGGAUUAGAUACCCUGGUAGUCCACGCCGUAAACGAUGAGUGCUAAGUGUUAGGGGGUUUCCGCCCCCUUAGUGCUGCAGCUAACGCAUUAAGCACUCCGCCUGGGGAGUACGGCCGCAAGGCUG